rnacentral:rRNA from 1 species
GCCAAUCUCAGUUCGGAUUGUAGGCUGCAACUCGCCUACAUGAAGUUGGAAUCGCUAGUAAUCGCGAAUCAGAAUGUCGCGGUGAAUACGUUCCCGGGUCUUGUACACACCGCCCGUCACACCACGAGAGUUUACAACACCCGAAGUCAGUGGCCUAACCACAAGGAGGGAGCUGCCUAAGGUGGGGUAGAUGAUUGGGGUGAAGUCGUAACAAGGUACC